rnacentral:rRNA from 1 species
GGGGAGAGGGAAGUGGAAUUCCUGGUGUAGAGGUGAAAUUCGUAGAUAUCAGGAGGAACACCGGUGGCGAAGGCGACUUCCUGGCCCUAUACUGACGCUGAGACGCGAGAGCGUGGGUAGCAAACAGGAUUAGAUACCCUGGUAGUCCACGCCGUAAACGAUGUUCACUAGGUGUUGGGGGUAUUGACCCCCUCAGUGCCGGAGCUAACGCAUUAAGUGAACCGCCUGGGGAGUACGGUCGCAAGACUAAAACUC